GACGAACGCUGGCGGCGUGCCUAAUACAUGCAAGUCGAGCGAAUGGAUUAAGAGCUUGCUCUUAUGAAGUUAGCGGCGGACGGGUGAGUAACACGUGGGUAACCUGCCCAUAAGACUGGGAUAACUCCGGGAAACCGGGGCUAAUACCGGCUAACAUUUUGAACCGCAUGGUUAGAAAUUGAAAGGCGGCUUCGGCUGUCAAUUAUGGAUGGACCCGGGUCGCAUUAGCUAGUUGGUGAGGUAACGGAUCACCAAGGCAACGAUGCGUAGCCGACCUGAGAGGGUGAUCGGCCACACUGGGACUGAGACACGGCCCAGACUCCUACGGGAGGCAGCAGUAGGGAAUCUUCCGCAAUGGACGAAAGUCUGACGGAGCAACGCCGCGUGAGUGAUGAAGGCUUUCGGGUCGUAAAACUCUGUUGUUAGGGAAGAACAAGUGCUAGUUGAAUAAGCUGGCACCUUGACGGUACCUAACCAGAAAGCCACGGCUAACUACGUGCCAGCCGCCGCUGUAA
rnacentral:rRNA from 1 species